rnacentral:lncRNA from 1 species
GCUGAUUGAACCAUUAGUUGUUCUCCCUUUUCAUUACAGUGGCCGGGUCUGGCUGUUAGGCUGACUAGAUUGAAGAUGUAUAUAAAUACCAAAAUGUAACCAAAGCCAACACCAUAUCAUUGGAAGCAUAGACUAACUAAUGAGACCUCCAUACUAGUCAGUUUUUCCACUAUAGAUUCCAAACCCUCAGUGCAGAUAAAGGAAACAUUAAGAAACAAGGCAACAAGAUACCUCCAAAAAUUCUAAACACUGUAAAAGCUGAUCUCACGGGUACUGAUGGACAGCAAGCUGUGGCAACUAGCAAUAGAUAACUGGUACUUGGUAACUAGCUGUGGGUAACUAGUUGUGAGCACCAGUUACAGAUGAUGGCACUGUCCCUUGCCAAAGACUGUUCCAGCCACUAGAAACCAGGAACCCAACCAGAUGCACUAAAGCCCCUGCCCCGGGGGAGCCUGCAGUCCAACAGCAACCACCAAAGGAGCAAGUUAAGCUGCCUAAGGAAAUUUGUCUGAGGAUGAAGCCAGCAACUGAAAACAAAUUAGAGAUGGAGGGACCGAGUCCGGGAUGUUGCUUGAGCCCUGUGUGCAGGACUGCGGAAGCCAGCUCUAGCCCCUUUGCAAGUCUUGCUUAUUGACUCUUGCUCUUAUGCCAGGGUGAGUUUGGGUGGGAUUUCCACCCAAAGAAACCUUAAAGGACUGUGGCCUGCUGAAUGCCAGCUGGAGACAGGUUUUGUUGGUCCACACAGGAUUAAAAUUUUGAGGCAACACG